rnacentral:rRNA from 1 species
UAGGGAAUCUUCCGCAAUGGGCGAAAGCCUGACGGAGCAACGCCGCGUGAGUGAUGAAGGUCUUCGGAUCGUAAAACUCUGUUAUUAGGGAAGAACAAAUGUGUAAGUAACUAUGCACGUCUUGACGGUACCUAAUCAGAAAGCCACGGCUAACUACGUGCCAGCAGCCGCGGUAAUACGUAGGUGGCAAGCGUUAUCCGGAAUUAUUGGGCGUAAAGCGCGCGUAGGCGGUUUUUUAAGUCUGAUGUGAAAGCCCACGGCUCAACCGUGGAGGGUCAUUGGAAACUGGAAAACUUGAGGGCAGAAGAGGAAAGUGGAAUUCCAUGUGUAGCGGUGAAAUGCGCAGAGAUAUGGGGGAACACCAGUGGCGAAGGCGACUUUCUGGUCUGUAACUGACGCUGAUGUACGAAAGCGUGGGGAUCAAACAGG